rnacentral:rRNA from 1 species
UACGUAGGGGGCAAGCGUUGUCCGGAAUUAUUGGGCGUAAAGCGCGCGCAGGCGGUCAUUUAAGUCUGGUGUUUAAUCCCGGGGCUCAACCCCGGAUCGCACUGGAAACUGGGUGACUUGAGUGCAGAAGAGGAGAGUGGAAUUCCACGUGUAGCGGUGAAAUGCGUAGAGAUGUGGAGGAACACCGAUGGCGAAGGCAGCCUUCUGGGCCAACACUGACGCUCAUGCACGAAAGCGUGGGGAGCAAACAGG